AGCCUGCCAGCCCCCAAAGUGGGGACGUGUUCUCUCCACAUCCCAGGACCUCACUCCAGACUGGAACAUCACGGGUGCUCAGAAAUGCCUCUCCAGUGGGAGGACAAAUGAACCCAGAGCACGAGGGUGCGGACAGGCCCUGCUUUGUAAGCUCACGAGGACUCAGGGGAAUCCAGCAGCUGGGACAGGCCUGGCACAGCAGCUGUUCACUAAAUGGGUGCUGUUAUUAUUAUUUAAAUCGCUUUUAACAGUCCCGUUCC
rnacentral:lncRNA from 1 species